rnacentral:lncRNA from 1 species
GAGCAAGUUUCUCUGAGGGGGAGUAAUCAAGUGUCCAUGAGGGGGCGGGAGCAAGUGUCCAUGAGGGGGAGUGAGCAGGUGUCCAUGAGGGGGAGUGAGCAAGUGUCCAUGAAGGGGUGUGAGCAAGUGUCCAUGAGGGGCGUGAGCAAGUGUCCAUGACGGGGCGUGAGCAAGUGUCCAUGAGGGGAUGUGAGCAAGUGUCCAUGAGGGGGUUUGAGCAAGUGUCCAUGGGGGGGUGUGAGCAAGUGUCCAUGGGGGGGAGUGAGCAAGUGUCCAUGGGGGGGAGUGAGCAAGUGUCCAUGAGGGGGAGUGAGCAAGUGUCCAUGAGUGGGUGUGAGCAAGUGUCCAUGGGGCAGUGUGAGCAAGUGUCCAUGGGGGGGAGUGAGCAAGUGUCCAUGGGGGGAGUGAGCAAGGGCACAUUCUCUGAAGAAUGGUAUGGGAUAAGAAGCCAGCCCUUUCCUACUCUUGGGCAAAGUACAGGGUGGGCAACACAUUUUUGGGGAUUAUUUUGGAUUUUAAAAAACACUCCAGGCCACUCUUGAAUGUCUAAAACAAGAUAGAAAGUAUGUUGAAAUUAUAAUGGAAUUACACUAUAUAUUUAUAUACAUUAUAAUGUAACUACACAAUAUAUUUAUAUAAAUUAUAAUGGACCUACAGUAUAUAUUUAUAUAAAUUAUAAUGGACCUACACUAUAUAUUUAUAUAAAUUAUAAUGGACCUACACAAUAAAUUUAUAUAAAUUAUAAUGGACCUACAGUAUAUAUUUAUAUAAAUUAUAAUGGACCUACAGUAUAUAUUUAUAUAAAUUAUAAUGGACCUACAGUAUAUAUUUAUAUAAAUUAUAAUGGACCUACAGUAUAGAUGUUCAAAUAACUUCCUUUUCUGGCCUGCAAAUAGAUUUUGACAAACAAAUCGGUCCCCCCAACAAUCUGUGCGGCCCUCGAACUAAAACGUUUGCCCAUCCCUGUCCUAGCUGGGCCGAGUGUCUGCGGAUUGUUGCUCCUCCCUUGUACUUGAUUGAUCAAUUAACGCCAUUGAUUAGUUAGGAUCUCCCCUCACCUGGUUGUCUACAAAUUAAUUCGACACGAAUUGAAAGAAAAUAACAAACACCCGCUUCAGCAGUACCCCGUCAUACCUGUAGAUGGCAGCAGGACCCCAGAGAGGUUCUAUGGGAUUAAAUUACAGGCUGCAUCUCAGGCUGUUUGACAUAGGAUUACAACAUAUUCUGUUAGGACAGAGACCGGUACAUUGAUAGUAAUAUGAUUGUCUCGAUCGGAUAGAAAGUCACAUUUUAAUUGGGGAUGUAAUUAGACAGGUUUCAUUUUCUUCAUCUACCCUGGAAUGGAAAAACUGGAAAUAUCUGACUUUAUGGAUGAGUACAGAUGAACGAGGAGAUGAGACAAUGAGAUGGAGUCAUUAGACUACUGAGAUAAAGGAGAGGGGACAAGGAGAUGACGCUGCUUUAGGAGAGGAAGCGAGCCCCUGACUUGACCAUGGAUGAGCCUCCUCACGACAGGACAUGUGGAAGCUAUGCUGAGGCACCAUUCCUUUUCUCCUAUGAAUAAGUAACCUAGGCUACUUCAAGGAAGGAAGGAAAGAAUGAUGCGUUCCCAAAGUAGUCCCAAUGAACAAAACCUGAGGGACUCCACUCUUUUGCGGACCAGCCAAGAACCGAGUUUCACUUUCACAUCUCUGGAAGUUGAGCUUUUUUUUCAAAGUAUAUUCCACCCCUUGUUCUGGUGAAUCAGAGUGUCAUUCUACAGUUCUGCGGGGCUGCGUGAACAGAUGACAUGAUAUCUUCUUCCUCUGAUGAAAGAAUAUGAUCUGCUGUAGCCUACAGCGGGGGUGGUUGAGGACCAGAACACGCAUCCACCAAGGCGGGAGCGCGCAUUGUGAAGAGGCGGGGCAGCGGGAAUAUCUCUUUCCGGACAUUUACCGAUGUUUACCUCCACCUGCCCGCGCGACGCGCCCAGUUCCAAGGUUUUUAACAGCGAUAGUAUCAACGGACAUGACAAAGUUCCCAAAUCCAGGACUACCGAGGUUGUGGAGAGAUGGACUGAGGGAUGUGUGUGUGUGUGUGUGUGUGUGUGUAGUGAGUGAGUGACGCGUAAUUCAGAGUGCAAAGACACAGAGAGACGUGACAGUCCCGCGUCCCAUUGUGACAUAGCUACGCAGCUCUGAGACCACUGUCAGCGGGGGGAACACACAGCCAUAACGGAACAUUCCCAACCAACGCGGCUCUGAGACCACUGUCAGCGGGGGGAACACACAGCCAUAACGGAACAUUCCUAACCAACGCGGCUCUGAGACCACUGUCAGCGGGGGGAACACACAGCCAUAACGGAACAUUCCCAACCAACGCGGCUCUGGGACCACUGUCAGCGGGGGAACACACAGCCAUAACGGAACAUUCCCAACCAACGCGC